rnacentral:rRNA from 1 species
GAUGAACGCUGGCGGCGUGCUUAACACAUGCAAGUCGAACGAAGCACUUUAACCUGUUUCUUCUGCUGGAGGUUCUUGUGACUGAGUGGCGGACGGGUGAGUAACGCUUGGGUUACCUGCCUCAUACAGGGGGAUAACAGAUAACAAUGACUGCUAAUACCGCAUAAGACCACAGAGCCGCAUGUCCCGCUGGGAAAAACUCCGGUGGUAUUAGCUGGACCCGCGUCUGAUUAGGUAGUUGGUGGGGUAACGGCGUACCAUGCCAACGAUGAGUAGCCGAGCUGGGAGGCUGACCGGCUACGUUGGGGCUGCGACACAGACUCAAAUGCUACGGGAGGGAGCAGUGUAGAAUAUUGCGCGAUGGAGGCAGACGUAAUGCAGCGGCGCCGCGUGAGCGAAGAAGUAUUUCGGUAUGUGAAGCUGUAUCAGCAGGGGAGAGAAUGACGGUACCUGAUUAAGAAGCACCGGCUAAAUACGUG